AAAAAAACAAUCACAACUUUGGGUUGUGACAAUAUUAUGUAAUAUAUUCUGUGCUUCCCUGCACAGUGAAUGGAAUACACACUGUGAGAGAGCACAGGUUUCUUUUCUGAUGGAGAAGAAUCAGAAUAGACUAACAAAAAUAAAAAAAAAAAAAAAAAAAAAGGAUUUUGGGGAAGGAAUAAAUUGAAAAGGAGUGAAUGUAAUAAAAGGGUAUUAGGAAACCAAAAGAUAUUUGAUCUCACUCGCUAGGAACAGACUAGCAAGUAGGAAGUGAUAGCCUCUCUCUGACACUGCUGAGCUGCAGGAAGACACAGCUCAGUAAUUGACUUGAAGGCACAGAGAAAGCUCAGUUCAAACAAUGCUUUUAUGCUGUUUUUCCAUCUUUCCCCCAGAGCACUGGGAUUGGAAGGGACCUCAGGAAAGGACCACAGUCAUUGGCCAGCUACACAGUCAAUAUCAGAACAGUUUUUACUCACUCUUCCCCUCCCUCUCCUUAGUUUGUGUUUAACUGCAAGCAAGCCCAGCUUUGAAACGUGAAACAUUUUCAAACUUUUGAAAUGUUUUGAGUGCCCUCAUUUCAUUUCAAGGCUGUUUUGAAGCCUUUUCUUUCAUUUUGAUUUCACUGUUUCUAGUCCAAAAUGAGUCAAAACAGCGUCAGACUGAAACAUCUGUUUAAUUUCACACAGCCCUAGUUCUAAACUGCAGAGCACAGUGGCAGCAGCAGCAAAUGUGCCAUUCCAGAAACACGAUGAAUAGUGGCAGACACUGCAUGCCAGACCUGCCCACCAGGAUAUGCAGCAGCUCAGGUGAUAUAUAGAAGACUUUCAAGAGAAGAGAUUGAGAAGAAUGAACAACUGAAAGAAGAACGGAGUAAAUAAUAGUAGAAUAGAAAUAGAUAGAACAGAAAUAGAAUAGAAAGUAGAAUAGAAUUAGAUAUACAUACAAUAGUUAGUUAAUGUUUAUUUAGUGUAUAAGUAAAUAGAUAGUGAGUGUGAAAUAUAUAUAUAUAUAUAUA